UUGAUCCCUCUGGUUUGUGG
rnacentral:misc_RNA from 1 species